rnacentral:rRNA from 1 species
UCGGGAAUUUUGGGCAAUGGGCGAAAGCCUGACCCAGCAACGCCGCGUGAGGGAUGAAGUAUUUCGGUAUGUAAACCUCGAAAGAAUGGGAAGAAUAAAUGACGGUACCAUUUAUAAGCUCCGGCUAACUACGUGCCAGCAGCCGCGGUAAUACGUAGGGAGCAAGCUUUGUUCGGAUUUACUGGGCGUAAAGGGCGCGUAGGCGGCGCGGUAAGUCACUUGUGAAAUCUCUGAGCUUAACUCAGAACGGCCAAGUGAUACUGCUGUGCUAGAGUGCGGAAGAGGCAACCGGAAUUCUUGGUGUAGCGGUGAAAUGCGUAGAUAUCAAGAGGAACACCUGAGGCGAAGGCGGGUUGCUGGGCCGACACUGACGCUGAUGCGCGAAAGCCAGGGGAGCAAACG